ACUGCCAGACGGAUCACGUAGCACUGAUCACGUCCCUGGAAUUGAAUCUGCACGCUUCCUGCUUCCUCUCUCCAUGCACAGAGGGAAGACUUUAAGGAGGUGGUAGUACCUAAUAAAACAGUAGAAUUCUGUUUUAUGAAGAAAGGAUGGAUGCUGCAUUAGUCCGCCUCUUCUGGGAGCUGAUAGCAAGGUCCAGCCGAAAGAGUGAGGUUGAAGGAAAGCUGUGGGCCUUGAUCACAGAGGCAGGCUGUGCCCGCAGCCCCCCACUUAGCGGAUGCACUAAGCCCACCAGCAGGCCAGAUGCUCAGAAGGCCUAGAAUGAAGUGCGUGCAAGCACCCUGGGAAUAUCCAGGAGACCAAGUUGACUUCGGUAAAGAUGUUGAGGAGACCGCACCAGCCAGAAGGCCAGAUUGCAGUUCACAGUUUUGGAUACAUUUGGAUUCCCAGACCUCAGCUGACGGGGCACAAAGCAGUGAGAGCCGGCGAUUUCAUGACUAAUUUGUGCCAGAUGGGGCAAGAAAAAGGAAAAGUUCCUGGAAGGAGGAGGAGAAGGGAGGAUGCGGAUUCAAAAGGAAGAGCGAGACCAUUAUCUCCACGUUCUCUGCAGGGUUA